GUGUUGGGAGCAAUGCUACAUAAUUCUAGGGAUAAAUCAUUUGGUUAGCCUAGUUCUCUUGCCUACAGCCCAGCUACAGAAUAACUCCAGUUUGGCCUCCGGUCACAACUGAGACUUCAGUGAUCCAGUGAUGCUGUGAUUCUCCAGGACAAGAAACAUCCUGGGAGAACAAACAUCUGCUCAGUUCCUCAUUGUUCUUGGACUGAUUAACAUCUCGUUUACCGGAGAUGUACUGAACUCUCUGCAAGCCUUCCGUUACACCUUGUUUAUCCCAAUGUGAACUAUUGAACUCUCUGCAAGUCAUUUGUUACAUUUGUUUCUCCGGAUGUACUGAAUAAAAGGUGUGGUAAGCUGGGGGCUUUGUCUUUGCUGCCCAGAGCAGCACUCAUCAGAACCAAAGCUCAGCUUCUUCUCAGUCUCAUUUUUCUACCUUUCCUGUAAUUCGCUGUGUGCUGCCGUGGCUUGCAGGAGACCAGGACUAACUGCAGAGGUUCUGGUAAUGUCCCCUUCCCCUGUCCCCUACAUUUGGUGCCCAACGUGGAUGUGAAUCGGAUCCAGGGGUGAACUCACCUGUGAGACAAACUUGGAGUAAGAGAGACAGCACACGGAUCUCCCAGGACGAUUUCCGGACUAGGACGAGGGACACCAGUGAUCCAACAGCUAUCAAUCAAACAGCUAGCAUCUCACUGACAUUUUGUUGAUCUCGGGCAAUGACAGCUGCCACUGUCUUGGACACCUUCACUUGUUUGGACCAAUCACAGUUUUUCAUCUUGUUUGCUGAAGGCAGAGGUAUUCUCAUAAUCUGAAGAUCUUCUUUAAAGAAACCUGCAUAAAUCUCUCCUAUGGUACAAUAAGGAUGGAAGAAAUGACACUUCCUCCAAUGAACUGCUUGUACCGUUGAUCCCAUUGUGAUACCUGCUUAGAACAAGCAACCACCACAAUUGUGUAUAUCUUCAACAAAAUGCUGAAAAGAAACACUUUCUUGUCUUUCAAUUGAAUAUUUUUAUUUCAUAUAAUGCUAGUAGAGAACAAAUAAACCUAUACUAUUGAUUUAUUUAUCAUGAAAUAUUUCAUUAUAUACAUUGUGAUGUGUUAUGUGUUUUUUUCUUUAAUUAGAAAACUAAUAUUAUUACUUCUUAAGUUUAGAAAUACUACCUUAGAAAUUUAUGCUUCAAGAUUCUGGAUUUAUGUACAAAAUACCCUAAAAAGGAACUAUAUUCCUGAGAUGUUCACAAACAAUGCAUUAAAUAAAUCAGAAUGAAUAUUUGAGUUUAUUCUUCGAGGGGGCAAAAUAAAAUAAAUAUUUCAAUCUUACAUGACUUGGAAAUAAAUGACUAAAGAAGUGUGGCUUUCUGGGAGGAGUGUAUAGGUACAUUUACCCUUCCAUUCAUCAGAUAUGAUUUCUUUUUUUUUAAAUUAGUUUUAUUGGUACAUUUUAGGUAUAUAAUAUAAUGACAUUCAUCAUUGGAAAUUUGCACCUCUACAUAAUCUCUUGAUUCUUACUUUUUCCCCAUUCCCCUGCCCUUCUUUCAACCCCUCCACCCCUCCCUAUUUACAAAGACUUUCCAUUUUUUCAUUUUCUCAUAUUAAUUUCAUUCCCUUCUUUCCUUUUCCCUGCCCCUCCCACUUCCCAUUCCCCUUUGCACCUUUUCUUCCUAUUUCACAUUAUCUAUUAUACCUUUUAGUCUUUAUUUAUGCCUUCAGUUUCUCACACUAGAAAAACUAUUCAGUAUUUACACGUGUGUGUCCUAUUCAUUUCACUUAGGACUACCACCUCAAUGUGCAUCCAUUUAGCAAUAAAUGUCUCUAAUUUCCAUUUUUUAUGGCUGAGUAGUACUCCAUUUAUAAAAAACCCCACAUUUUUUAUGUGCAUCCAUCUUCAUAGCAGCACAAUUUGUAAUAGCUAAAACUUGGAAGCAGCCCAAUUACCAAUCAACUGGAGACUGGAUAAAGAAGAUCAGAUAUGAUUUCUGUUAGCUCACUCAAUGCAUCCUAGACACUACACCCUAGACUUAAUGGAUGAGUCUCUCUUUACUUUACUACCAAUUCCUAAUUUUUCAUUGAAUUAUUAAUGGGUCUAGUGGUUGUGAACCUUUUUUAUUGGUUUUGUUUGUCUUUGGUUUACGAGGUUGGAGUGGAGCAGGAGGAGCAAUGAAUAGUAGAAUAUAUAAGGGCAAUAUUGUGUUGAAGUGAUUCAUAAGCCCUCUUUCAUCAAAUGCUAUUGGAAUUGAAUAAUGAAGGCUUGUGAGCUAGAAAAAUGUAAAAUGAAAAUUUUAUUUUCAUAGUGUAUGAAAACAAGGUUGUACAAAAUAUUCUUAUAAUGAAAAAUUUAAGGAUGUGAUAAAUGCCCGACAUAAAGUGGAAAAGACUAUUAUAAUUUCAAAGUACUCUGAUCAUCUAUGUUAAAGAAGCUUUCUUGGAAAGACAUGAGCAUCUUGUUGGAGUAGUAUCAUAACAAGGUAAUACCCUCAGUACAUGAGGUAAAAGGACCCAAGUUACCCAAGUUAUUUAGAUGAAUGCAUCAAGAGUUAUCAUGGUUGGAGUGUCUCUGAGGAGUAAGGAAGAACAAUUGUCUACUCUGAUGUUUUCUUUUUCUCAUUGUGUAAGAAUAAAGAAGAAGCUGGAAAGAUUGCUGGUGAAUCAAUAUAUUCGUGGAGAAAUGAGUCUAGUUAAAACAAGAAACUUAAGAAAAUGUUCACAAAUGACGCCUUGGAGAACUUUGCUCAUAAAUGACUGUGAGUCCAGGGAGGAUACUGGAAGGCAGACUACUGUGACAAAGUAUGUUAGGCAAUAAGGGUGACCUGAAAAUCUUACAGUUAUGAUUUGACAAACAGAAUUAAAUAGCAGAGCUGAGAUGAGGCCCACUAAUCUCUAGGUAGAUAGUGAAGCUGAGACUACACUUAGUGUUGUUGGAAGAACGUUGAAAUGGUGAGAUCUCUCCAGACAGUAUGAUUCUCAGACUUUCUUAUGUCCUACUCAUGACACUGUGGAAGUUGCAGAGAGGAACUUCAUCCAGAGAGCAUAAGGACUUCCGUGACUGCCUCUUCAAUUCUGCUAUCGGAGGCAGUCUAGGGGAGGUGUGGUCUUAUCCACGUAUCUGUUCCUCCUUCACUCACUGAAACACAUUUAUAAAACUGGGCCUGGGAUUUAGCUCAGUGGUUCUGCUGCCUGCCUCGCAAGGACAAGGUCCCAAGCUCGAUCCCUGGUACCAAAAACAAAACAAAACAAAACAAAAAAACUACCCUAACAAUUUCAAGAAAACAACCUUAUGUUAAUUUUCAACACAGUCCAAUCUUUCAUGGUACUGGCAGCAAAAUAUUUGUUUUAGCUAAGGAAAAAUUAAUAAGUCUUUCUGGCAGCAGGAGUAUAUUAUUUAGGGUACUCUAGGGAAACAGAGUCAAUUGAAUAUAUAUGUGUGAUUAUGCACUGGAAUUCAUUAACUAGGCUUACAGGAUCAGAAAUGAGAGAGCCCACAAUGGCAUUUGUGGGACCAGACGCAAGAGAGUCCGCAAUAGUCACUUGAACAUUACAGACCCAGAAGAUACAGGAGAUGCUUGGCCAAGAAGGUGGAGGCCACAGGACAGGAGGAUGCAAGGAUACAGCACUUGUCCAAGUUUGAAGGCCUAGAAGCUCCCUGGAUAGUUACCAAUAUGAGUCUGUGUUAGAAAGCUAAAGAAACUGCAGAUCUGGAUACUGAUGUCCAGUGGCAACAGCAGCAGAGUAUACACACAAUUAGGAAGACGGAAGUUCUUCAAACUGUGGACAGUUCCUUGUUUUCUCCUCUUUUUAUUCCAUCCUGGCUACAACCCCAUUUGUUAGUGCCACCUACAUCAGGAAUGAGUCUUCCUCCCUGGGUUGACUGGUUUAUAUAUCAGUCACCCAUUCACAGUUCUGUUAGAUAAUGUGUAGGAUUUCUGACCCCAGAGAAUGCAAGAUGUACUUAGGUAUAAUAAAAUGGAGCAGUUGACCGUUCCAAGGAAUAAUACGUGUAAUUCUAUUGUUUCAAAAACACAUCAUCUAUUGAAGAAUGAGUGAGAGAAGCUCACUACGAUGAUUAUAAUAAAAAUAUAAUGGUACUUCUUUUUAAAAGGACAGUAUAAGGUAAUUUACCAUGUAUACAUCACCUGUGACCCCAACGUUUUAAAUUUUAUGCUCUGUUCAAUGGCAGUAGCAGGGAGUCUGGAGGGAGAAUUCUCUCACAGAUUUACAAACUACCAAAAUGUUUAAACUUAACUAAAUAAAAGACUAUUUGCUAGCCUAGAGUUGUUUUAAGACAAAUUCUUUAGUACCACCUCAACUCUUCAGCAGAGUGUAAUAUUUAAAUGUAAUUUUAUGAGGUCUGGUGUGCCCACAAUAUGUGAAAACAAUGAUUAGUUUUUAUAGAGUUCCUGCAACAUUGCAUUUAAUGAAAGCAAUGAUGGUGAGCUCCUAUUUACCUUUGUACAAGGUUUCUUAAUUUAGCACUGUACCUGAAUAUGUGUGGUAGAGUGCAAGUUUUGCUUCUAUAGUGUCUUAAAAUAUAUUUUAAAUAUGGCCCACCUAAAUGGGCCAUUUUAAAUAUGGGCCAUUUUAAAUAUGGCCCAAGUAAAUGAAAAUAGAAAAAACAAGUGAUCACCUUCAGUACCAUCAGAAAAAAAGUCAAAUGUUACUUAAACAAACAGUGAGAAAUGUGAAAUAGAUAAAUUCUGCUGUAAUACACAGUUUCUUAUGAUGGCUUUUUAGAUCCAAUAUCUCUUGGAGAUCUAAAGUCAGUUUUCAGUUGCAGUUUAAAAGACUGUAAAAAUAGAGGAUUUAUGAUUAUAUCAUAAAGGAUAUCCUAGAGUAUUUAAUAUGAAAUAUUUAAUAUGAAAAUUCUCCAGCUCUCAGGAGCAGCAAUUUUCAGCUCUAUGUUCCAAGUGGAACAUGUUGUCAUCUCCUGAAGCAUUGUUUAUUAUGGUGCUGAGUGUUGGUGUCCUUGGAAUCAGUGUGGAAGUGUGAAAAGAAGUAAAUCUGUUAUCAAGGACAGCUGGAUUUCUUGGGUCAAGGUUUAAAGAUCAGAGCUUUCUACUCUUUUUAAAUAUUUCAUGACUGAUUUCUAGUUUUAGGCAUUCAAAAUAACUCCAAAUGAUGUCAUCAUUUUCUCAGUAGAUUGAGGCUAUCACUAGAAGUUACUGCAACAGAAACAGUCCCUCAUGAUUGGCAAGUUGGUAAGAAUUAGAGGAGACUAUUCAUGCCAGCAAACACAGGACAAUCAUAAGUUUUUGAAAUUAGACAGAUGAAGUUUGUAAUCUGUUGUUGCAAUAUACCACUUGUGUAAGUGAAUUUUAACCCUACCUAUGACAAUUGGGAGAUGAUACCUGUGAAAUAAGUGGCAUGAAUUUUGUAAUGAAAUAAUUUGUUGAUUGUGCAAUUGUGUGAUACGGUUUACAUGUAGAUGGCCCCCUAAAGUCUCACGAGAUCAUAGGUGGGACCUUUGUUUUCCAGGGUUUUUUUUUGUUUUUUCUUGGUUGGGGGUACUGGGGAUCGAACUCAGGUCCUUGUGCUUGCACAGCAGUUGGAGAAACCACUGAGCUAAAUCCCCGGCCCCAUAGGCGGGACAUUUGGAAAGUGAUUGAAUUACAGUUGAGUUGCUGCUUGUAGGUAGAACCUGGUUGGGAGAGGUGGGUCACCAUAAGCAUGACAAAGAAUGUUAUAUCUCCCUUCCAAGCUCUUCAUUUUGUUUUCUGCUUCAUGUCUGCCAUGAGGUAAGUAGCUCUCCUCUGCCAUGUGCCUGUGUCAUGUCAUUCUGUCUUGGAACCAGCCACUAUGAACUGAAGCACAAGCCAAAAUAAACCUUUGCUCCUAUAAGUUUUGGGUAUUAAGUAUUGUAUCUCAGCCAUAAAGAGGGAAGUAACUAAGAUUUUGAUACCAAAGAAGUAGGAUCAUUGCUGUGACACUACUUGUCCUGUGGUUCAGAAACAUUUGGAGGUUGUUUGAGGGAGGAGUUUGGAAAUAUUUGAAGAUACCAUCUGGAGAACCAGACUGAAAAUGCUGCAAACUGAUCAUGAUAGGAGAUUCUGGUCAGAUUUCAGAAGAUCAUAAUGCUGAUAGAAGUCGGUAUAGUAAAGAUGAGGUUCAGGAGGUUUCAGUUGGGAACAAGGACUAUAUUGGCAGUAGUACUCCAGACCAUGUGUGUUACACUUUGGCAGAAAAUUUGUCUACAUUUUACUCAGAGUAAGGGCAGUAGAGUAAUCUGGUGGAGAAAAUUUCAAAGCAGCCUAAUAUUAGGGCUGUGAUAUGUAUACUAUUAGGUGACUUUAGCCAGUCCUAGUUGGAAAACCAGGAGCAAAAAGCCCACUUUUAAAGUUUUCAGUUUUUCCAGAAAAAAAACACCUACAAAGUUGUAGCAGAGGAAAGCAUUGUUGCUGAAAUAAUUAGCAGUGAAUAGAAGCCAAGUAUUUUGAAUCAUGAUAGGAAAAAUACUUUGAGGGCACGUGAAGAAUCAGCAAGGGCCCAACCUUCCCAAUUACAAAAUUGCAAAAGUUAAAAACUUUGCUUUAAAAAGGGGGUCCAAGGUUGCAUGCUUCAGAAGGGCAGCUGGGUAGGGAAUUUGUUCCUCAGGAUUUGACUCAUAGUGUUCAGCCAUCCAGGUAUUCACAGGUCCCUGCUACCAUGAUAUAAGGGAUCCUGGCUACUGCUCAAGCUGAUGCAGACCUUGGCAUAAUCCACACGAUUCUGGUUAUACAGGAAUGCAGAGUGCAAAUCUUCUGCGUUUGAGGAGGCAUUGAGCCAGAUUUCAGAAGGCCUAGAAGGCCAGGCAGUGUGCCCCUGAGAAGGCAGUGCUUGAAGCUGGUGAGAGUGAAACUGAGUGUGCAAUAAAGACCCCAGAGAGUUGGAGGAACCAGAAACAUGGAACAUCUGAGGAAAGCCACUGCAUGAAGCAAAGACACCCCAAGAGAAAAGCUAUUAGAGCUUUAACCACCAAGGAUACUGCAGGGGUAGGGCCGUCCAAGCUAUUUGAAGUUCACAUCUCAGCAUAGUUUUCUCUGGGUUCUAGAUAUGGAGCUACAGGAUUUAAUGUUCUCCCUGUUGAUUUUCAGUCUUGCUUUGGUUCCGUUGAUUUCUAUUCCCACAUUUCUCCUUUUUGGAAUGAGAAUGUGUACCUUAUGCAUUGUAUGCCAGCAGUGUUUAACUUCUUUUGGGUAUUUACUGUGGCUUACAGCUAAGAGUUUCCCUUCAGUCUCAGAGGAUACCUUGGACUUGGCCUUUUCAGCAAUGCUGGGAUGGUUAGGAAUUUGGCAACUGUUAGAAACAGACUAAAGGAAAUUUGCAUAAAUAUAUAUGCAUGAAUCUUUGGGGAUUAGGGAUGGAAUUUUAUGAUUUAUGUCUAGAAGUCCCAUAAUAUUGUAGGUGGACUUUAAGGAAGGUGAUUAGACUAUAGGGGUAUUAUAGGUGAAGUGUAUUAGGAGGUGGGGCUUGGUUAGAAAAGACAAAUCACUGUAGAUAUGACCUGGAAGGCGAUAUCUCCCUUCCAAGCUCUUCUCACAGUUCUGUGCUUCCUAGAUGCCAUGAGAUAAGCAGCUUGGCUCCUCCUAGCCCCUUCAACUAUGCUGUUAUGACAUCAAGACAGCUGAGUAUGUACUGCAACCUUUACAAAUGGUGAGCCAAAGUAAACCUUUGGUCAUUUACUUUGUGGGUGUGAGGUAUUGUCUCUAAGCCAUAAGAAAAGUGACUACGGCAUGUACCACCCUUAAAACAGGCAGGCAUACAGUAAAGGGGAAAAAAAACCCUCACUUAUUCAGUGAAAGAAGAAUCUGUGGGAAAAAAACAAGAGUGAAUAUAUUUUAUGAUACUAAUUAAUGUUGGUUAUGAAAUAAUGAUCAAUAUCAUUAACAUAAAAACAUUAAAUCUAAAGAAUGUUCAUAGUAUACAUAAUUAAAACAGUGUCACUGGGUUUGGCAAUCUAUAAGUCAUUGAUAAAUUUGGAAUGACCAUAUUACUAUAUGAAUGAAAUACAGACAUUUGGAUGUGUAAAUUAAAAUAGAAUUUAAAUUUUACUUUAAGAGGGAUGAUCAGUGGAGUUAUGCAGAAAUGUUUCUUGUUCUUUUGAUGAGACCUAAGUAUACGUACAGACAGAUUACAAGGAGCAAAUUGAUGAAUUAAAAAUACUGAUGAAAUCAGACAUCAUAAUUACAGUAAAGGCCCAUAGAAUGUGAUAGAAGAGUAGCAGUGGAGGAGCAUGGAAGGCACUUGCACUUGAAUAGAUCAAAGAAAUACAAUGUUGUUGAGAUGUAGAAUAGGUCAUUCAUACAAAAGAGAGCAAAUGAUUGUGAUAGUGGCAGGAUCAUGAAACAAGAAUUUACUAGCCAUGUACUAAUCAUUUCCCUGAUGAAAGGAAAGCAGAUUUUAUUUAUCUGUGAGACUGAUAAAUAAAAAAAAUAUAUCAGAUGGGAAACAAGGAUCUUGUUCUGAGUAGGGACAUGCAAUGGUCUAAAGGCAGUAUCUUUAUGUGACUUUAGAUGUAAGAGGAUGAACAAGUUGCACUGCAGAUCUGCCAUGGUGAGUUAACUUUAAAAAGAGACAGAAUAAGGUCAUGAUGUGAGAUUGGAGGUAGGCAAAGACCUGGUGAAUAUACAUAACGAUUAAAAGGGGUUUAUUAGUAACAAAUCAUACUUUCCACAAGGAAACGGGGACUGAUGCGAAGGUGGGGAUAGUAGACAGUGAAUUAGAAACAUAAAAAUAUGAGGAGAGAGAGAGAGAGGCAGAGAGAAUGAAAGAACAGAAAUUCCCAUUUGGGCUAUAUUUGGAUAUUGACCAAAGUUAUACAAAGUUAUAAAGGAUGCAAUAAUUUUCCACUGAAUAAAACCAAAAAUAUGCUUCAUCAAAAGCACAGGCUGAGACUUCAGGAAAAAAGCCCUUACAGAGGAUACAUGGUACUCUGUAUCUUCUAUGAAGUAAUUUAUAUUAAACCUUAUAAAUGUUACCACCUGAGACUCAUAAUUUGGAUGAUGUCUCUAAGUAAGAUAAAUUAAUUAAAUAAGUA
rnacentral:lncRNA from 1 species